rnacentral:tRNA from 1 species
AUUUAAGUAGUUUAUAAAAAUUUUAAAAUGUGGUUUAAAGGUAUUAGUAAUUUUAAAUUUCUAUA